rnacentral:rRNA from 1 species
UGGAGGUAUCAGAAGUGCGAAUGCUGACAUAAGUAACGAUAAAGCGGGUGAAAAGCCCGCUCGCCGGAAGACCAAGGGUUCCUGUCCAACGUUAAUCGGGGCAGGGUGAGUCGACCCCUAAGGCGAGGCCGAAAGGCGUAGUCGAUGGGAAACAGGUUAAUAUUCCUGUACUUGGUGUUACUGCGAAGGGGGGACGGAGAAGGCUAUGUUGGCCGGGCGACGGUUGUCCCGGUUUAAGCGUGUAGGCUGGUUUUCCAGGCAAAUCCGGAAAAUCAAGGCUGAGGCGUGAUGACGAGGCACUACGGUGCUGAAGCGACAAAUGCCCUGCUUCCAGGAAAAGCCUCUAAGCAUCAGGUAACAUCAAAUCGUACCCCAAACCGACACAGGUGGUCAGGUAGAGAAUACCAAGGCGCUUGAGAGAACUCGGGUGAAGGAACUAGGCAAAAUGGUGCCGUAACUUCGGGAGAAGGCACGCUGAUAUGUAGGUGAAGCGACUUGCUCGUGGAGCUGAAAUCAGUCGAAGAUACCAGCUGGCUGCAACUGUUUAUUAAAAACACAGCACUGUGCAAACACGAAAGUGGACGUAUACGGUGUGACGCCUGCCCGGUGCCGGAAGGUUAAUUGAUGGGGUUAGCGGUAACGCGAAGCUCUUGAUCGAAGCCCCGGUAAACGGCGGCCGUAACUAUAACGGUCCUAAGGUAGCGAAAUUCCUUGUCGGGUAAGUUCCGACCUGCACGAAUGGCGUAAUGAUGGCCAGGCUGUCUCCACCCGAGACUCAGUGAAAUUGAACUCGCUGUGAAGAUGCAGUGUACCCGCGGCAAGACGGAAAGACCCCGUGAACCUUUACUAUAGCUUGACACUGAACAUUGAGCCUUGAUGUGUAGGAUAGGUGGGAGGCUUUGAAGUGUGGACGCCAGUCUGCAUGGAGCCGGCCUUGAAAUACCACCCUUUAAUGUUUGAUGUUCUAACGUAGGCCCCUUAUCGGGGUUGCGGACAGUGUCUGGUGGGUAGUUUGACUGGGGCGGUCUCCUCCUAAAGAGUAACGGAGGAGCACGAAGGUUGGCUAAUCCUGGUCGGACAUCAGGAGGUUAGUGCAAUGGCAUAAGCCAGCUUGACUGCGAGCGUGACGGCGCGAGCAGGUGCGAAAGCAGGUCAUAGUGAUCCGGUGGUUCUGAAUGGAAGGGCCAUCGCUCAACGGAUAAAAGGUACUCCGGGGAUAACAGGCUGAUACCGCCCAAGAGUUCAUAUCGACGGCGGUGUUUGGCACCUCGAUGUCGGCUCAUCACAUCCUGGGGCUGAAGUAGGUCCCAAGGGUAUGGCUGUUCGCCAUUUAAAGUGGUACGCGAGCUGGGUUUAGAACGUCGUGAGACAGUUCGGUCCCUAUCUGCCGUGGGCGCUGGAGAACUGAGGGGGGCUGCUCCUAGUACGAGAGGACCGGAGUGGACGCAUCACUGGUGUUCGGGUUGUCAUGCCAAUGGCACUGCCCGGUAGCUAAAUGCGGAAGAGAUAAGUGCUGAAAGCAUCUAAGCACGAAACUUGCCCCGAGAUGAGUUCUCCCUGACCCUUUAAGGGUCCUGAAGGAACGUUGAAGACGACGACGUUGAUAGGCCGGGUGUGUAAGCGCAGCGAUGCGUUGAGCUAACCGGUACUAAUGAACCGUGAGG